AGAUAAAAAUUUAUGUUUUAAAAAAUUUAUUUUAAAUUUAUUUUACAUAUAAAUUUUAGUGUGAAAUUUUAAUUAUUUUAAUAAUAAUUAAUUAAUUAAAGUAGUAAUUAAUAUUAAAAAUUUAAGAAAUUAAGAUUUAGUAAUAUAAAAAUUAAUAACUAAUUUUGUGCCAGCAGUUGCGGUUAUACAAAAAUUAAAUUAAAUUAUUUCGAUUUAUAAUAAAUUAUGUAAAAAUUAAAUUAAAUAUUAAAUUAUUAAGUGAAAUUUUAAUUUAAUUAAAUUUUAUAUUUAAUUUAUGAAUUAGUAAAUUUUAAUAUAAACUAGGAUUAGAUACCCUAUUAUUAAAAAUUUAAUUAAAAAUAUCAAAAUAGUAAAUAAUUAUUUAUUGAAACUUAAAUAAUAUGGCGGUAUUUUAGUUCAUUUAGAGGAAUCUGUCUAAUAAUUGAUAAUCCACGAAUAAAUUUACUUAAUUUAUAAUUUUGUAUAUCAUUGUUAAAAAAAUAUUUUAAAAUAAAAAUAAUAUUUAAAUUUUAUGAUUAAAAAUUAAUUCAGAUCAAGAUGCAGAAUAUAAUUAAGAAUAUGAUGGAUUACAAUAAAUAUAUUUAUAUGAAUAAUAUUGUUGUAAGAUAUAUUUGAAGGUGGAUUUAAAUGUAAUUUUAUUUAAUUUAUUAAAAUGAUUAAAAAUUAAAAUAUGUACAUAUUGCCCGUCACUUUCAUUUGAAAAUUGAAAUAAGUCGUAACAAAGUAGAGGUACUGGAAAGUGUUUCUAGAAAGAA
rnacentral:ncRNA from 1 species